CUCAACCCAACCCAGGUACCUGUCAUCACACCCCCUGAUGACACUACGGAGGAGGUGGACACUGCACCCGCUGCCAGUCAGGACACGGAGGAUGACGAGUACAUAGGACCUGAUGGGGUUAGUGGAUACCAGCACGUCCUCCUGGCCAGGAGUCUGGUGAGGCUGCUGGAGGGGCCAUGGGUCUCCAAUGGGCACAUAGAUGACAUCAUGGCUCUCUGGGGAAACCUUCCAGAGAAGAGACAAGGCAGCAGUCUCCUACCCCGAGAGCUCCCUGCUUGGCCAAGGCUCUGGACCUGCUCAGUGGCCCAACACCAGCAGGACAGUAGAGGCCAUUUUCGUUGAGCUGUGCCACAAACACCCUGCAGGCAAGAUGGUGCUUGGGAACCGGGUCAACCGGUGGGCUGCUAUCCUGGGGGACUACAGGUACAACAAACCGAUGUCCCCCAUGGAGAGAGUGACCCUGCACCAGACCCGGGACAGCAUGACUACAGAGAGGGAGGAGUCAGGCCCUUUCCACGCUGCAGUCAGGAGCACAUCACUGCUGCCAGCCCCAUCAACCAGCAGCAGCUUCCAGAGGACAGAACGGGGCAGGCUACACAGCGUGGUAGAGCAGCCACUAGUCAGUCACUGCCACCUCUACCACCACCUAGUCUGCCUACCACCUCCUUCCCUAUUUCUCCAGUCUCCCAAGACCUGCACUGCUCUGCUCUCUCCUGCUAGUGGACCCAAGGUCUCCAGGACCACCGUAUGGAGGAAGAGGAAGAGUCUGGGAAUAGUCAGGGAGCACAAGCCGUACGACGGAUACAACUGCUCUAAAUGUGGCAAGCCUAGAACUUGUGAAUUUGGACACAGUAUGUAUGGAACUGUGAGAUUCUGUGCCGCUACCUCUGGCAGCCAAACUGUGGAGGAGUGGCUGGCACUGAUGAGGUCCCAGCGUGGUGUUAGCCAGGGCCAGUAAACAUCGACUGACUUACGUGUACAUUUUUUUUCUACAUAAGGCAGCUCAACACCUUGCCUGGGACAAGAAUGUGUGCUGUCCAACACUAUAUUUGGAAGAAAGAAUCAGAGGGAAGCCCAAAAGGCCCAACUGGAGUGUGACAGAAUAAAAAGGCAGACGAGGGAGAGAGAGAGCACAGCGGCGUGCUGGAAAAUACAAGGACUCGCCUCCACACCUGACAUUUAGCCGUCCACGGUGGCCUCCAGUUCUGAACUAGCGGUUCCCCAGAGACAAGAACCCGAUACCAGCCUCAGCCGAAAGGUUGUUAAUCUCCCCGGUCCCCCCCCCCCCCCACCUGAAAUUCAGCCAUCCAUGUUGGCCCCCAGUUCUGAACAGACACCCCUCCCACCACCCCCAAAGACAAGAACCUGAAGCCAGCUCCAUCCAGAAGCAACAAGGGGGCCCGGAGGACAGCUAAAGCGGUGCCAACCAACAAGCAACCCCCCCCUAAUGCUAGAGUUGCUGCCGCUUCCACCCUCGGAAAAGGCCUCCCCUUGACCAGAUCCACAUAUUUGAGGAGGAGAAUUGCAACGGCUGGUCAUGAACCUUGUGAGGAAGAGGUUACCCGUUGCUUUCCCCUGCAAGAUAUGUGGCAAGCCUAAAAGAAAAGAAUUUGGCCACAGCCAGUACAGGGGAGACUGUAAAAACUGGGGGCCUGGGCCUCGGGUGUCAAGGACCACAGCAUGGAAGCGGAGGGUCAGAAAUAGUUCUGUAAUAUGUUUUAAUGUUUCAAAAAUGUAAAGUUGUGUAAU